GAAGUUGCAGGAAUGUUUGCUAAUGCAAGAAAAUACUCCCCUGUCCCCUGAACAGCUGUGUUUCCUGUCUUUCCUCAGCACAUCUGCACAUCACAGCACACUGUAUGUCCUGCACAUAGACACACACUCUCUCUCUAAAACAUUUCAGUUCUGCAAGUUCCAACUAUGGUCUAUUCUUAAAGGGGGGAAAAAUCUCUGUAAAACUGUCAAACUAAAUGGAUCUUCGCUACACAGAGAUUUUUGAACCUCCAAAGGCAAAAAAAAAAAAAAGAAAAACAUUCUUGUGUGUCACUGACUGCACCGCAUAUCCACGCACACACCCAUGUAAUGAAAUCCACUUUACAUGGUUGCCAGUCAAAAACACAUCCAAAUCCACACUUAAACGCCUACACACAUGCAAAAGUCUGCCACAUCUGUGUGUUCUGGAUGGAUGCCAAAGUGUGAAAGCAUGCUAAGACAGGACCAAGGCUCCUCAGGCUCUGCUGAGUAUUUAUGGGUAAAACAGAAGCACACCUGACAAAUGGUGCAGCAGAAGCAGAGGGACGAGGGAUAGGAGGAAGGAGGAGGGAGUAAAACAAGCUAAAGACAGGACAUGAACAACACCAUAACCCUUAGGACACACCGGAGGGCUGCUUGUAUAUCUAUUUCUGUGGUGGAGGUACACAGCAAAGGUCUUGCAACACCAACUGGUUCCAGUGAAAACGCCAGGAGACACAUUUGUGCGUUGUAUUGUGUGUAUGAAAAAAAGGAAGGUGGUUUUGUUUCCUACGAUGUAUGCAUGUUCUUGUGUGAGCCCCUCAGCUGUGCCACCUGCAGCCUCUGAGGAGGAAAAGUGCUGAUAAUAAAAGCAAAACAAAGCUAGUAAAGCUGGGAAUAGAAAAUGCACUUGCUGCUCCCUACACAUGGUUCCCCCGUAAAUACCUACAGCAGCAACUGGAUUUACAAACAGGGGAGUGCAUGCAUAUACAUGCACAGUGAUAAAAGGCUAUGGCAGAUGGCUUCUGUGUAAAUGUUAAUUGCAGACUUGA